CUACGGGGUGCAGCAGUGGGGAAUAUUGCACAAUGGAGGAGACUCUGAUGCAGCAACGCCGCGUGGAGGAUGACACUUUUCGGAGCGUAAACUCCUUUUAUAUAGGAAGAUAAUGACGGUACUAUAUGAAUAAGCACCGGCUAACUCCGUGCCAGCAGCCGCGGUAAUACGGAGGGUGCAAGCGUUACUCGGAAUCACUGGGCGUAAAGAGCGUGUAGGCGGAUUAAUAAGUCAGAUGUGAAAGCCAAUGGCUCAACCAUUGAACUGCAUUUGAAACUGUUAAUCUAGAAUAUGGGAGAGGUAGAUGGAAUUUCUGGUGUAGGGGUAAAAUCCGUAGAGAUCAGAAGGAAUACCGAUUGCGAAGGCGAUCUACUGGAACAUUAUUGACGCUGAGACGCGAAAGCGUGGGGAGCAAACAGGAUUAGAUACCCGUGUAGUC
rnacentral:rRNA from 1 species